rnacentral:tRNA from 1 species
GCAGUGGUUCCAUGGUGGAACUCUCGCCUUCCGCACGGGAGACCCAGGUUCAAUCCCUGGCCAAUGCA